GACGAACGCUGGCGGCGUGCCUAAUACAUGCAAGUAGAACGCUGAAGCUUGGUGCUUGCACCGAGCGGAUGAGUUGCGAACGGGUGAGUAACGCGUGGGUAACCUGCCUGGUAGCGGGGGAUAACUAUUGGAAACGAUAGCUAAUACCGCAUAAGAGUAGAUGUUGCAUGACAUUUGCUUAAAAGGUGCAAUUGCCUCACUACCAGAUGGACCUGCGUUGUAUUAGCUAGUUGGUGAGGUAACGGCUCACCCAGGCAACGAUACAUAGCCGACCUGAGUGGGUGAUCGGCCACACUGGGACUGGGACACGGCCCAGACUCCUACGGGAGGCAGCAGUAGGGAAUCUUCGGCAAUGGACGGAAGUCUGAACGAGCAACGCCGCGUGAGGGAAGAAGGGUUUCGGAUCGUAAAGCUCUGUUGUAAGAGAAGAACGAGUGUGAGAGUGGAAAGUUCACACUGUGACGGUAUCUUACCAGAAAGGGACGGCUAACUACGUG
rnacentral:rRNA from 1 species